UCUUGGUAAAAUGCGAUUGUGUUAAAUAGAGGAUCAUAAUAUUGAAUAUUAUUGUUUGACAGUUGAUAAAGAUGUUUACAGUUUUUAUACGCCCGUAUAAAAUACGGGACGUAUUAUGUGAAACCCCUUGGCGGCGGGCGGGCGGCGGGCGGCGGGCGGGCGGCGGGCGGAAGGCAUCACUUUGUCCGGACUCUAAUUCAAAUUGUAUUCAUCCGAUCUUCACCAAACUUGGUCAGCAGUUGCAUCUAGUUGAUAUCUAGGCCAAGUUCGAAUAUGGGUCAUGCCAGGUCAAAAACUAGGUCAUAGGGUCAAUAAGUGCAUUUUCAAAGGGGCCACUUUGUCCGGACUCUAUUUCAAAUUGUAUUCAUCCGAUCUUCACCAAACUUGGUCAGCAGUUGCAUCUAGUUGAUAUCUAGGCCAAGUUCGAAUAUGGGUCAUGCCGGGUCAAAAACUAGGUCAUAGGGUCAAUAAGUGCAUUUUCAAAGGGGCCACUUUGUCCGGACUCUAUUUCAAAUUGUAUUCAUCCGAUCUUCACCAAACUUGGUCAGCAGUUGCAUCUAGUUGAUAUAUAGGCCAAGUUUCGAAUAUGGGUCAUGCCGGGUCAAAAACUAGGUCAUAGGGUCAAUUAGUGCAUUUUCAACGGCGCCACUGUUGUCCGGACUCUAAUUCAAAUUGUAUUCAUCCGAUCUUCACCAAAUUUGGUCAGAAGUUGUGUCUAGAUGAUAUGUAGGUCAAGUUCAAAUAUGGGUCAUGCCGGGUCAAUAACUAGGUCUUGAGGACACUUUCAAGCAUUGAGCAUGGUGUCCAAAACCUUCGAACGGGCGUACCUUGUGACAGUUUGGCACUCUUGUUACUGUUUCUUCUUAUUUGCAAUAACUACUUGUGGACUAGUCAUUUAAAUUAGUUUAGUUAUAUAUUUUGAAAUGUCAUUGUCAUUAUUGGAAGUUAUAACUUAUUAAAAUGUUAAAACUU